CCGAAAGAGAAGCUGAGAGAGGAGCAGAGCCAUAGAAAGAAGCAGAGAACGCCAGAGAGCCCAGAGAGAGUGAGGAUUUGCUGGGGGCUGAGAGGCCUGCCAGCCUCAUGCCUGGUGAACCCCAAUAAAAGACCUGCAAAAAACCACUGAGGACUCUGACUCCUCCUUUACCCGGUCUGCUGGAUCAGAAAACCCGCACUGUGGCCAAUUCCUGCCCUUUACAGAGCCAAAGAGAAAGUUUGCUUACGACAAAGGCGGAAAGCAAAUCAUACCUGCGCCUGUAUGAGUUUUGCAACAACAGCUGUGCACACCUGUAACUGCAGCGAGAGGACAGGGCCCUCAAGCUUCCUCCCGGAACCACCAGGAGCAUCUCGGCAUCAAGCCACCACAGCUUUGAGACGUGUCUACUCCUGUACUUCGGGCAACCCAACUUCAAACUACUGAUUCUACUCACCACCACCCCCACUUCGCCUGCUUCUAGAGUCUUCAUUGCUUCUUGUAUUUGGUCACAGAAUUUAGUGGAAAGAAAGAUAAAAAGGGGAAGGAAGAAGAGAAGAAGGAAGGAAGAAAAGCAGAAAGAAAAGGAACAAAAAGGGGAUCCUGAAAGCUUCAAUCCUGAGGCAGUGGAAGUGCAGACUCAAAAGUCUACAAAGAACUGAGAGAAGGGGUGUUUGCCCAGGAUCUAAAUUCAUUCCUCCUUACUGAUCAGAAAUAGCAGAACAAAAUAAAAGAAAGAAAACACCUCAGAGAAUGUCUCUAUCCAGAAGUCAGCAAUGAACUGAUGAAGAAUAUUGUUCCCUAUAUGUGGUCAUAUUCAAUAAUUCCUCAACAACUGGUCAAUCUUUAUCCAGAGACACCUUAUUAAGAGCAUUCCAAGUGGUUCCUCAGUUAUCACUUGGUGCCAGGAAUAAUGGACAUUGAUAUCUACUUUGGGCUUCAAGAUGUUGUGAAAACUCAACUUCCUCAGAAGUUCCUUCAAGCUGUAACUUAUGGCCUUUAUUUCUUGUCCUGAUGC